GCCGGGCAUGGUGGCGCAUGCCUGUAACUCCAGCAGCUUGGGAGGCAGAGCAGGAGGAUCAUGAGUUCAAAGCCAGCCUCAGCAAAAGUGAGGUGCUAAGCAGCUCAGUGAGACCCUGUCUCUA
rnacentral:sRNA from 1 species